UCUAUAAAUAAAUGAUUUUACUAAUGUUUCAUGAAAUUUUCAAAAUGGGAGGAGAGUAUCAUGAGACAACUUGUUUCUUUCAUUUUUUUUUGUUUAAUCAAAGGGAUCACAUAUGCCUAGUUUUCUUCUAAGCAUGUGAUGAUGUGUGUGCGGAGGGCUAAGCAUGAAUUUCAAAAAAAAUUUAUGCGGAAAGAACGGGUUAAACAUUUUAACCCAUAACAUGCUUAAUAUUUUAGAUAUUUUAACUCUGGUACCAGUCGAAGACAGUCUUCAACUGCACAUCACAUGUGGCACGGGCUCAGUCCCAAUACAUAGAGUGACACCCGCACGUGCCUAUCAAAGCACUCAUCAUAUGAGCCCCUGGGUGGAGAGCCAUGCUUCGUCACACGAUCAUGCGUGAGAGUUUCCGAGAAUCAGAUAGUCUCCACUAAUCCUUUGCUUUGACACCAAAUAUCAUA
rnacentral:lncRNA from 1 species